GACGAACGCUGGCGGCGUGCUUAACACAUGCAAGUCGAACGGAAAGGCCCUGCUUGCAGGGUGCUCGAGUGGCGAACGGGUGUGUAACACGUGGGUGAUCUGCCCUGCACUUCGGGAUAAGCCUGGGAAACUGGGUCUAAUACCGGAUAGCAGCCCUUCUUAGUGUGAUGGUUGGAAAGUUUUUUCGGUGUAGGAGGAGCUCGCGGCCUAUCAGCUUGUUGGUGGGGUAAUGGCCUACCAAGGCGGCGACGGGUAGCCGGCCUGAGAGGGUGGACGGCCACAUUGGGACUGAGAUACGGCCCAGACUCCUACGGGAGGCAGCAGUGGGGAAUAUUGCACAAUGGGCGCAAGCCUGAUGCAGCGACGCCGCGUGGGGGAUGACGGCCUUCGGGUUGUAAACUCCUUUCGCUAGGGACGAAGCUUUUUGUGACGGUACCUAGAGAAGAAGCACCGGCUAACUACGUG
rnacentral:rRNA from 1 species